UACGAAGGGGGCUAGCGUUGCUCGGAAUCACUGGGCGUAAAGGGUGCGUAGGCGGCUCCUUAAGUCGGGGGUGAAAUCCUGGAGCUCAACUCCAGAACUGCCUUUGAUACUGGAGAUCUUGAGUGCGGGAGAGGUGAGUGGAACUGCGAGUGUAGAGGUGAAAUUCGUAGAUAUUCGCAAGAACACCAGUGGCGAAGGCGGCUCACUGGCCCGAUACUGACGCUGAGGCACGAAAGCGUGGGGAGCAAACAGG
rnacentral:rRNA from 1 species